CAUUUACCACAGCACGCCCUGGACUUUUUCGUUGCUGAAUGUGACAGAUGCAGGAAACUGAAUGGAGGGGUUCAGAAGAUGAGCCAUACCUUGGAUAUGCAGUGAUUGUAGACAAAAUCCCCUCUGUGGAACCGUUUGCAUCCGCAUAUGGAGCUAUUGGAGUUGAGUGCUGAAUUUAAACAAGAAGAGCCAAGUGAAAACUCCCUAUCUGACAUAUUCGCUGGGACUGUCUGUUUGCAAGUCUUUGACAUACUCCCAAGCUGAUUGUAGGCAAGGCAGAUUCAGCAGCCAUCUAAGCACCUUUUAAGUAUCAAAGGGAAGUGACGUGCUCAUCUCUGAGAAGAAAAAAGGAACUAAAACUCUUCUUAUAAAAGCGUCAUCAGAAGGACUGAGGUUGUGUGAACCACCAAUAUCAUAGCAGUUAAAGGAAAGAAGAGGACAGAGUGAAACAGGGAAUAGCUUCCAGACCCCAGGCAGAAGGACUGAAGAGAUGAAGUACGUGAGAUCUGAACUUGGAAGAUGACUGAGACUCACAGAAUGGUUUAGGUUGGAAAGGACCUCUGGAAGUCAUCUGGUCCAAACUCCUGCUCAAGCAUGGCCACCCAGCAGGCUACCCAGGAUCAUGUCCAAAGUAUAUACUCUUAUGUUUGGAUGUUCAGUAAGGAAAUCUCAGGCUUAAGAAGAGUAUUGUGACAAAGAUGUAGUUCAGCACUUUUCCAGUAACAAAGGAAACAUGAGCAGUACACACAUAUCAGAUACUUCAGUCUCGUGAGAAGCGGUUUCUGCACGGUUUCCUGGACAGGAUCAAGAACCACUGGAAAUAUUCAGAUAAUUUACUGGAAAUCAUGAAAGCAGACUGUCUGGCAGGUUCUGUUUUGAAUAAACUUUGGAUUGAAAGUGAACUUUUUGGGUAUGUAUGUGAACAGGCUUAUUAUCUCUAUCCAUACUUCACAAUUAAUUAGACAGGUCUAUAAACAGUUUCAUUAAAUACUAAGAUCAAAAAGUCAUGUCCUG
rnacentral:lncRNA from 1 species